rnacentral:lncRNA from 1 species
CAGCGUGGGAGGGGCCGGGGUGAGGCAAGGGGCUCACGCUGACCUCUGUCCGCGUGGGAGGGGCCGGUGUGAGGCAAGGGCUCACACUGACCUCUCUCAGCGUGGGAGGGGCCGGGGUGAGGCAAGGGCUCACACCGACCUCUCUCAGCGUGGGAGGGGCCGGUGUGAGGCAAGGGGCUCACGCUGACCUCUGUCCGCGUGGGAGGGGCCGGUGUGAGGCAAGGGCUCACACUGACCUCUCUCAGCGUGGGAGGGGCCGGUGUGAGGCAAGGGGCUCACGCUGACCUCUGUCCGCGUGGGAGGGGCCGGUGUGAGACAAGGGGCUCACACCUCUCUCAGCGUGGGAGGGGCCGGUGUGAGGCAAGGGGCUCGGGCUGACCUCUCUCAGCGUGGGAGGGGCCGGUGUGAGACAAGGGGCUCACGCUGACCUCUCUCAGCGUGGGAGGGGCCGGUGUGAGGCAAGGGGCUCGGGCUGACCUCUCUCAGCGUGGGAGGGGCCGGUGUGAGGCAAGGGGCUCACGCUGACCUCUGUCCGCGUGGGAGGGGCCGGUGUGAGGCAAGGGCUCACACUGACCUCUCUCAGCGUGGGAGGGGCCGGUGUGAGGCAAGGGGCUCACGCUGACCUCUGUCCGCGUGGGAGGGGCCGGUGUGAGGCAAGGGCUCACACUGACCUCUCUCAGCGUGGGAGGGGCCGGUGUGAGGCAAGGAGCUCGGGCUGACCUCUGUCCGCGUGGGAGGGGCCGGUGUGAGGCAAGGGGCUUGGGCUGACCUCUCUCAGCGUGGGAGGGGCCGGUGUGAGACAAGGGGCACGCUGACCUCUCUCAGCAUGGGAGGGGCCGGUGUGAGACAAGGGGCUCGGGCUGACCUCUGUCCGCGUGGGAGGGGCCGGUGUGAGGCAAGGGGCUCACGCUGACCUCUGUCCGCGUGGGAGGGGCCGGUGUGAGGCAAGGGCUCACACUGACCUCUCUCAGCGUGGGAGGGGCCGGUGUGAGACAAGGGGCUCACGCUGACCUCUGUCCACGUGGGAGGGGCCGGGGUGAGGCAAGGGCUCACACUGACCUCUCUCAGCGUGGGAGGGGCCGGUGUGAGGCAAGGGGCUCACGCUGACCUCUG